UUCCUACGGGCGGCAGCAGUGGGGAAUAUUGGGCAAUGGGGGAAACCCUGACCCAGCAACGCCGCGUGAAGGAUGAAGGCUUUCGGGUUGUAAACUUCUUUGAUCAGGGACGAACAAAUGACGGUACCUGAGGAACAAGCCACGGCUAACUACGUGCCAGCAGCCGCGGUAAUACGUAGGUGGCAAGCGUUAUCCGGAUUUACUGGGUGUAAAGGGCGUGUAGGCGGGUCUGCAAGUCGGAUGUGAAAUUCCCGGGCUUAACUCGGGCAGGUCAUCCGAAACUGCGGAUCUUGAGUACUGGAGAGGAUAGUGGAAUUCCUAGUGUAGCGGUAAAAUGCGUAGAUAUUAGGAGGAACACCAGUGGCGAAGGCGGCUAUCUGGACAGUAACUGACGCUGAGGCGCGAAAGCGUGGGGAGCAAACAGGAUUAGAUACCCGGGUAGUCAU
rnacentral:rRNA from 1 species